ACGGGGCGCAGCAGGCGCGAACACUGUGCAAUGCGCGAAAGCGCGACACGGGGAGCUUGAGUGUCUUGGCAUAGCCAAGACUUUUCUCAUUCCUAAAAAGCAUGAGGAAUAAGUGCUGGGUAAGACGGGUGCCAGCCGCCGCGGUAACACCCGCAGCACAAGUGGUGGUCACUUUUAUUGAGCCUAAAGCGUUCGUAGCCGGUUUUGUAAAUCUUUAGAUAAAGCCUGAAGCUUAACUCCAGAAAGUCUGAAGAGACUGCAAGACUUGAGAUCGGGUGAGGUUAAACGUACUUUCAGGGUAGGGGUAAAAUCCUGUAAUCCCGGAAGGACGACCAGUGGCGAAAGCGUUUAACUAGAACGAAUCUGACGGUAAGGGACGAAGGCUAGGGUAGCAAACCGGAUUAGAUACCCGGGUAGUCCUAGCUGUAAACAUUGCCCAUUUGAUGUUGCUUUUCCGUUGAGGGAAGGCAGUGUCGGAGCGAAGGUGUUAAAUGGGCCGCUUGGGAAGUAUGGUCGCAAGACUGAAACUUAAAGGAAUUGGCGGGGGAGCACCGCAACGGGAGGAAUGUGCGGUUUAAUUGGAUUCAACGCCGGAAAACUCACCGGGAACGACCUGUGCAUGAGAGUCAACCUGACGAGUUUACUCGAUAGCAGGAGAGGUGGUGCAUGGCCGUCGUCAGCUCGUACCGUAGGGCGUUCACUUAAGUGUGAUAACGAGCGAGACCCACAUCUUUAAUUGCAAAUGUAUAUGAGAAUAUGCAUGCACUUUAGAGAAACCGCCAGCGCUAAGUUGGAGGAAGGAGUGGUCGACGGCAGGUCAGUACGCCCCGAAUUUCCCGGGCUACACGCGCAUUACAAAGAACGGGACAAUACGUUGCAACCUCGAAAGGGGAAGCUAAUCGCGAAACCCGUCCAUAGUUAGGAUUGAGGGCUGUAACUCGCCCUCAUGAAUCUGGAUUCCGUAGUAAUCGCGGGUCAACAACCCGCGGUGAACAUGCCCCUGCUCCUUGCACACACCGCCCGUCAAACCAUCCGAGUUGGUGUUGGAUGAGGUUUAAUUCGAGAGGGUUAAAUCAAAUCUGAUGUCGGUGAGGAGGGUUAAGUCGUAACAAGGUAGCCGUA
rnacentral:rRNA from 1 species